UAGACAAAGUGGAGCAUGUCACCCCAAGUAUUAGCUAAUGAUCGAUUAUUCCAUAGCUUCUAAUCUAAAUUAUUACUAGUUAUCAGACAGCCAAUUAUGGCUACGAUUUAUCAUUACUUCAAUUUGUUUUAAUCAUUGCAGUGCGCAUAUGCUGGGUUAAAAGAUGAAUGGUAGUGGAAGUCUACGUGAACAACUUUAUUUCUUCAUAUUUUUAGGGAAUUUUACUCUUUCCUAAAAAUAUUUAAUAUGACAUGACUACAGUUUUUAAUCCCGAAACAAGGGAUGAUUUGUUGACGUAGGAAAAAUGAAGACUAAAAUUUCAAAAAAAAAGAAAGAGUUAAUUUUUUUAAUCAAGUUGUUUAAUUGAAUCGGUCCACUAGCUGGCCAUGCAAAUCGAAUUGCUUAUUGAAAACAAAAAGAAAACCAAUAUAAAAUAUAGUUAACAUAAUUAAUAUAAAUAAUUAUUACGGCAAUAACCAAUUGGUUACCAAUAAUACAUUUUUUUACGAAAGAUAUUCACAUUAAGAGGUAACCAAAUCUCUACUUAAAGAUAACUAUAUCAAAUAACCCAAUCUCUAUCUCUUACUUAAGGAUUCAUUUUAAGAGCUAUUUAUUUGUUUGUUGAAGAGCUUUUGAUUAGUCUAUAAAUUCUAAAAAUAUAUAUUUGUUUGUUAAACAGCUCUGAUUUACAGUUUUUUUUUUUGUUUAUUAAUAGAUCGUUAACACUUUAUCAAUUUUAUCUUGCACUUACCCGAAAUUUAUUUUUCUUGCUAUUGCUCUUGUUGGCCAACAUCUUUUCUCAGUUCCUCUAACGAAGGAGCUUCAUUACUUUGUAUACUGUAAAAUUUUACACACUUUAUUCUCUGUAAUAAUUUUUUUGUAAUAAUAACGGUUUUGAUUGGUAACAUGUGUUAUAAUUUACCUUGAGUUAAAAGUUUAAAUAACUGAUAACUCAAAAAUAUUACAGAUUCAACUUUUUUUAAGUUUGAUUUAACAUGUGUUAUAGUUGAGUUACAAUUUUGACUUAGAUUCUUUGUGAAUUUAUUAACUCAAAAUUUAAACCAACAUCAACCAAAAUUUCAUGUUUUUGAAAUUGAGUUACAAAUUUAAUUAUUUUUCUGUCUAAAAAUACAAAUGAAAAUAAUGAGUUUUCAAAACCCCAUGUAUCAAUUUACGUUUGCAAAAACAAUUUGUUUGCUUUGUAAGAUUUUAAUAUUAUUUAUGGUUACAAUUCCACAAUUAUAGCAAUAUCUAAGUUUAUUUUUGUUUGAAACUAUUUAUGAACAUUUAUAAGAAAAUGUAACACAUGUAUUCUUUAAAAUAAAAUAAUAAAUAAUAUUCUUGAAAUCUUCAUUUAUUAGUUCUCAUAUUUCGUCUCCAAAAACUAUAAUCCAAUAAAAGAGAUAAAUUUCGAAAAUAUCGAUAAAAACAUAAAAAUCACAAGUCUGAAAAAGAAAAAAAAAACAAAACACUCAAAUACACCAGUCUGAUAGCAAGAACUUAUGCUCGUUAAUCUCACUUGAAAGAGGAAGAAAAGAGGGAUGAGUAAGAUGGAAAUCACCGAGUGAGGUAUGGGAUGCUAAAGACGCAAACCACUGACAUGAAUAAAUAAAACUUCCACUAUGGAAGUUUAGCUCUAACAUGAACAACCAAGAUGCCUAAAGCAUCACACAUAACAUACAAUGCACUGAUAGUGCAUAACUAGACCACACACCCCGCAUUCUCCUUAUACAGAUAUAUAAAUACGCAUCGUCGCUAAUACAUUAUGUCUCUGUACCCCCCCUACCCAGUAGCGUCGAUGGUAUAAACGUCUCUGCACCACACGCCUCUCAUAAGUAGCGUCGUUAGCCCAUACGUCUAUAAGCCCCCGCCCGCACAACACAGUAGGGUCGCUAGCCCAAACAUCUUUGAACCUCCGCCCUUGCACAUAGUCCCUACUCAUAACUAUGUAUACAUAUAUAUAACAUCACUUAACAUCACACAGUCCAAUCAAUGGUUGAAUCCUCUAGUCCCCUAGUUCCGGUUUACAAUGAAUGAAUUAACUACCAAUCAAGAUUCAAACAUACUCAAUUCAAACAGACGGAACAUGAUUUGAAAUCUAAACUAUCAUAGGGAGAAUUCUACACUGGUACGGGAUUAACAAAGUAAAGUAAACCCCCACUUUGCCAUAAGUUCUAAAGAAACCCUGAAAAACCACCGAAUUGACCUUGACGGCUCUAACAAAGUAACUCCAAAACUCUUUGAAAAUAGAUAAAUAUGAUAUUCUGGCAGAACUGAACCAUAGAACAUACAAAUGAAUAACUCAGGAACUGACCCUAAAUUUGUUUGCUAGUAUUGUUUAAAAAAAAAAAUUAAAGUUCAUCCUAUUAUUUUUUAUUUUAUUUUUGUCAUCAACUUUACAGAUUCUUACUAACUAUGUGAACCACACCAGUAGAUAUUGAUCCAUGUGAACGACGAAAGACGUUUGCUUCGUGGCACAUAUCCAGAUAAUAAUCUCUGAUCGGAUGAAACUUUCUUCCAGGCUCUUAAUAUCUUCCAAAUAACUUGCAAAAGCUGGUCAUUCUUCUGGUUCCGAAACCAUCUUCACCAUUUGAAAACAAUCCAUUGCAAACGUAACAUGAAAUUGUCAUAAGUUUCUCAUACAUUCUAUAGCCCAUAAUAGAGCUUCCAUCUCUGCAUGAAGAGGAAAGAAAGAGUUGCCCGAACAUUCCUUGCCCCCAUCAACCGCUCAAAUCCUUCUAAAGUACUAAACUAGCCUUGACCGGAGAAAAUAUCCUCAUCUUUCCAGGAUCCAUCUGUGAAACACUAUCUUCCAGAAAUUGACGGAAGAAUCGUAACCUCUAAAUGUGGUACCGUCUUUUGUUCAUUUAAAAUUUGUGUCUCGGCCCAGAGUGUAGUUUCUGUUAGUUCGAAAUUGUUUCAUCUUAUUAUUUAAUUUAGUUUAUUACUGAUAUUAGAAUAAAUAGUAUUAUUAGUGACUAUAAUAUUUAGAAAAUAAUAUAUGUUGAAAAUUAAUUUUCAAAAUAUUUAUACUUACUUAAAAUAAUUUUUAUUUUUAUUUACUUUUAAAAUAGCUUAAUGGUUUAUUUAUUCUUAGAAAAUAUUUCUCUAUUUAUGUGUUUUUAUAUUCAGUUAUAUUAUUGAAGAUUUAUGCUACAACUUAUUUAUCAAAAAAAUUAUCAGUUAUAAAUUUUAAUAAAAUCUUAAUUCUUAAUUUUACGGUAAAUUUUACACAGUUUAUGCAAUAUAAUUUUUACUGUGAGUUAUAUCAAAUUACAAAUUAGACUCAAUUUAGCUUUCAUAUUACUUAUCAUUAAUGAGGAGCCAACUUCUUAUGUUCAAAGAAACUUCUUUUGGUGACCAGAAAAUAACUUUUUGACGGCGGUGAAUGAUUACAUGCACGUGUAUAUUAUAACCAUAACUGUGUAAAUUUUUAUCUAAGAACAACAGGAUGAAAAGAAAUAGCCGGAGAGGACUUUGCGAGAUAUACGUGUGACAUACACGGUGACGCGACGUGUUCGAUGUAAACUAGGUCCUACAUCACAUGCCUCGCCACCAAUGUCUUUGUCUGAAAGGGAGAAUGCAAAAGUCUCUCGGGGUCCACUGGCUAAUAGGCGUGCCCUACCCUACCUUUUGUCUUUUUUUGGCUUUCUCUAGAAUCCAACAUCAAGAAUAGGUUCGAUAAGAGAAGAUCUCCUACAAAUCUAACACGUCUACGGCUAAAACGUCUUGAAGUUCGGUGGUUAGGGUACGGAUCGCCGCAUGGAGAUAAAGACCUCAGAAAACAAAUAUUUUCUGAAACUCGCUGAACAGAAUCCCAUGUGCAUCUCUCCACUUCCUCUCUUGUCUGACAUUUCAAUUUAUUUCUUUAUUUUGUUAGUUUUUAACAAAAUUUUAGUUACUCUUACAAAUUCAUGUUUAGAUAUAGACAUAUUAUAUGAAUUUCAGAUGUAGUACAAUAUAUGAAUUUUGUCAAAGAAGAUCAAUAGAUAAGUGAAAACAUCGCCUAAGAAGAUCAAUCGAGCUUUGUUACAUAUCUCAUCAUUCUAACAAAAUUUUCCUUAUACUCUUUGUUCCAAAAUAUAUGUAAUUUUAGAUUAAUUGCACAACUAUUAAAAACACUGGUUUUUACUUAAAAUGUAUCAUUAAAUAGAAAUAAAGUGUUUGACUAAAUAAAAAUGAAAAUAUAAUAAAAAUAUUCAAUCAAGUUAUAAAAUAUCAUUGGUUACAAUUUUUUUGAUAAAGUUAAGAGUUACAUUGAAAUAUAAAAUACCAUUUAUUUUGAAAUAUCAUUUUUUUAAACAUCACGUAGUUUCACACAGAAUAAGUAUUUAUUUGACACAAAGUUUUUGUGGAAAAUUUUCCUAAAAAUUUAAAACAUGCUCUUUGAUAAAAAAACACAUAAGAAAGAAAAUGUCAUGUUCCAAAACAAAAGUGACCAAAAAAA